CAGUCGCAUCAAAAUCUGGCUCUUCUGCUGUUGUGAACACAACUACACUCAUGUAAUUGGUGGCAGUGACUGUCAGGUUGUAGAGAUGUGUGGUUGUAAACAUGGAGAAAGUGGGGAAUCACAGACGUGAGCUGUUGAAAGAUCGGAACAAGAGCUCAGGGUUCCUGUGAUCUGGCCUACACUCACCCUCCCAGGUUGACUUAGAACUGAAUCUGAACUGAUUGAGUGCACCUGAACCUGAACCAAACCCAAAUAAAUACUGGUUCAAUUCUUUUAAGCAACGAUGAGGAUUGAACUCAGCUUAUAGGACAUAACUGUAAUCCAUAAGCUUGUUGUUGAAUUUACUAUCCUUUAGCCCCUGCACUUGGAUUAUGAAAAUUUACAUGAUUAAUUUAUACAGCUUAAAUUCAUUGUACAGAAUGAGCGAGAUCAAGCUCC